rnacentral:rRNA from 1 species
AGUGAACGCUGGCGGUAGGCCUAACACAUGCAAGUCGAACGGCAGCACAGUAAGAGCUUGCUCUUACGGGUGGCGAGUGGCGGACGGGUGAGGAAUACAUCGGAAUCUACUUUUUCGUGGGGGAUAACGUAGGGAAACUUACGCUAAUACCGCAUACGACCUACGGGUGAAAGCAGGGGAUCUUCGGAUCUUGCGCGAUUGAAUGAGCCGAUGUCGGAUUAGCUAGUUGGCGGGGUAAAGGCCCACCAAGGCGACGAUCCGUAGCUGGUCUGAGAGGAUGGUCAGCCACACUGGAACUGAGACACGGUCCAGACUCCUACGGGAGGCAGCAGUGGGGAAUAUUGGACAAUGGGCGCAAGCCUGAUCCAGCCAUGCCGCGUGUGUGAAGAAGGCCUUCGGAUUGUAAAGCCCUUUUGUUGGGGAAGAAGAGCAGCAGGUUAAUACCCCGCUGUUCUGACGGUACCCAAAGAAUAAGCACCGGCUAACUUCGUG